rnacentral:tRNA from 1 species
GGCGACGUAGCCAUGGUAAGGCAGAGGUCUGCAAAAACCUUUAUCGCGGGUCUCGAUUCCGCCGUCGCCU